AAGGAGAGAGAAUGCAGACACCAAACUUGUGUAAAACCUCCAGAACAAAGUCUCCAGAAGACAUUUCCAUCCUCAACCUCUGAAGGGUGCUGGAGUGUACAGUGAACCCACUGGCGGUAUCAGCUCUGCAACAUCAUAUUAAUAUGUAAUGAGGUUAUCUCUGCCUGCACUCCGCCACCACUACUUGAGCUCUCUGCUUCUGCAGACAUACACAGACCACCCGUCAUUUACGGUGUGUGCCCACAUCCUGCCUCUCUUUCACUCUGACUCAGCCCUUUGCUAUCAGCUUAUUAGAUGUCAGACUUUGGGCAGAACCUCAAAAGUCACGAGUGAUUGUGAAGAUGGCAAAAUCUAAAUGGAAAGAUUUUUGUUAUUUGACGCAUUUCCUACAACGGACAUGUGGCGUUGAGAAGCAGCACUACUUCCUCGUUUAAAGCCGGUCUUUAUGCCAACGAAAGCAAACUCCGAUGUUCUACUAAGUACUGGCAGCUGGACAGGGCUUCAAAUCAGCAGAAGACCCACCCGUAAAUAAUUGAAACCCUCCUGCAGCUUCACCGGACAAUCUGCCGCUGUCUAACGUACCUUGGGCUUGUUGAACACAUCUGAUUGUGGGGAGCGCUCGGCCAUGGUCAGGAUCCCGCGGCAGCCGGUGGACCUGCUGGUGCGCACUGAGAUGCUGUAGGAGGACUCCCAGACCAAUGACACAUUUAAUGCACCAAUGACUCAAUGCUAAAACUGAACUGUUUGUUUACACACAUUAGUAAGAGAAAAAAACAUCUUUCACCCUGAUUGUUUAUCCUUUGCACAAACAGAUGUUAAUUAUGUGGUCAUUAGUGAGCAAACAGCUGAGGCUCUACUAAACAUAAAACAGGCUGUAUAAUGACUCCUAACAGACAUGUCGCCUCAAAGGAAACCUUCGUUUUCACUCAACAAAUGAAGAUAAAAUCAUUUUUAAUGGAGGAAGUGCUACACUUGCAAAAGAAGGACGUGUCAGGAAGUCUGAAAAAUUUAACUGUGAACGUUGCAACAUUUUUGUAGUGACAAACAUUUUAAAAGAUAAAUGUCAGGAAAAGGUUUUAGGCGAAAACAGGAAACCAAUAAACUAAGAUAAGAAUCCAAUCUAAGAGUUGGUUCUACCACAGCUAUGAGGGGAAAUACCAAAUAGAGCACCACUUUACACAGAGUUGAGGAAAUUAUUACAAGAGGCAUUAGAUCUGACCAGAAACUAUUAGGUUCAGUUGCUUAUAUAUGAGUGGAAAACAAACAGUGAGCUAUACCAAGUCAGAUAUGGAUUCAGCCAUAAACGUUGUUCUAUUAACUGUUACAUGCUGACGACAAGAACCUGUCAUGGUGCCUUUCGUAUUUGCUAAAAUAAUCUGAAAUGCACAAGUGAUCCUUCAAAAAGAAAACAACAAAACAGUUACAACCAAGAACAUAUCUGCUUCCUUUUUCUCUACCCCCACCCCCCCGGAACAAGAUACACAAUGUAAUGAGCUAAUUCAGCAGUCUAAAUUUCUGCCUAGGUUAUGAAUGAAAUGUUGGUUAAAGCAGAUCUGCAGUGCUGGAGAGGGUUGAAAUUAGCUGUCUGGCAUUGGGACUCAUGAGAAGGCUAGCAGAUAUUUUGUUAUUUUCCUCCAGCAGGUGGAACCAAACAUCCACCCAUGCUGUCAAGGCCAAAGAUGUUAGCAGCGACACAAUGUGUUGUGCUUUGUGAUCUCUGGAUUUGUAGCUCUUUUCUUUCUUUUGACAUGUUUCUAUAAAAUUUUUAAGA